GAAAUGUAAAGAGAAAUCAAAGGGGGUUAGCAACAAAGCCACAUUUUUGUCCCCUGCUACCAUUUGCUUACAAAUCUAGCAUUAAAGCUCGUCAAUUCUCCUCCAAUUCUCGGUCAUCAUUGUUCUCAAUCGCAUAUUAGAUUAAGAAACCACCAUUUUUGUCACUGAAUCAUGAGGAGAAAUUCAGAGCCCAGCGCUCAAAACCCUUUUUGCCCUCACUAAUUGCAUCUCCAUUCUACCCAGUCAACCUAGGAAUCCACGAAACAA
rnacentral:misc_RNA from 1 species